GUAGGUGGCAAGCGUUGUCCGGAAUUAUUGGGGCGUAAAGCGCGCGCAGGCGGUUCUUUAAGUCUGAUGUCGAAAGCCCCACGGGCUCAACCGUGGAGGGUCAUUGGAAACUGGAGAACUUGAGUACAGAAGAGGAAAGCGGAAUUCCACGUGUAGCGGUGAAAUGCGUAGAGAUGUGGAGGAACACCAGUGGCGAAGGCGGCUUUCUGGUCUGUAACUGACGCUGAGGCGCGAAAGCGUGGGGAGCAAACAGGAUUAGAUACCCUGGUAGUCCACGCCGUAAACGAUGAGCGCUAAGUGUUAGGGGGUUUCCGCCCCUUAGUGCUGCAGCUAACGCAUUAAGCACUCCGCCUGGGGAGUACGGCCGCAAAGGCUG
rnacentral:rRNA from 1 species